UACGUAGGUGGCAAGCGUUGUCCGGAUUUAUUGGGUUUAAAGGGUGCGUAGGCGGUCAAUUAAGUCAGUGGUGAAAUACGUCAGCUUAACUGUCGAGGUGCCAUUGAUACUGGUUGACUUGAGUACUGAUGAGGUAGGCGGAAUGGACGGUGUAGCGGUGAAAUGCUUAGAUAUCGUCCAGAACACCGAUAGCGAAGGCAGCUUACUAAAGAGUAACUGACGCUGAGGCACGAAAGUGUGGGGAUCAAACAGG
rnacentral:rRNA from 1 species